rnacentral:tRNA from 1 species
GGCGACAUGGCCAAGCGGUAAGGCAGAGGAUUGCAAAUCCUUUAUUCCCCAGUUCGAUUCUGGGUGUCGCCU